GAUGAACGCUGGCGGCGUGCCUAAUACAUGCAAGUCGAGCGAACGGACGAGAAGCUUGCUUCUCUGAUGUUAGCGGCGGACGGGUGAGUAACACGUGGAUAACCUACCUAUAAGACUGGGAUAACUUCGGGAAACCGGAGCUAAUACCGGCUAAUAUUUUGAACCGCAUGGUUCAAAAGUGAAAGACGGUCUUGCUGUCACUUAUAGAUGGAUCCGCGCCGCAUUAGCUAGUUGGUAAGGUAACGGCUUACCAAGGCAACGAUGCAUAGCCGACCUGAGAGGGUGAUCGGCCACACUGGAACUGAGACACGGUCCAGACUCCUACGGGAGGCAGCAGUAGGGAAUCUUCCGCAAUGGGCGAAAGCCUGACGGAGCAACGCCGCGUGAGUGAUGAAGGUCCUCGGAUCGUAAAACUCUGUUAUUAGGGAAGAACAUAUGUGUAAGUAACUGUGCACAUCUUGACGGUACCUAAUCAGAAAGCCACGGCUAACUACGUG
rnacentral:rRNA from 1 species